GACGAACGCUGGCGGCGUGCUUAACACAUGCAAGUCGAACGCUGAAGCUCAGCUUGCUGGGUGGAUGAGUGGCGAACGGGUGAGUAACACGUGAGUAACCUGCCCUCUUCUUUGGGAUAACGCCCGGAAACGGGUGCUAAUACUGGAUAUUCACUGAUUCUCGCAUGGGGGUUGGUGGAAAGGUUUUUUCUGGUGGGGGAUGGGCUCGCGGCCUAUCAGCUUGUUGGUGGGGUGAUAGCCUACCAAGGCUUUGACGGGUAGCCGGCCUGAGAGGGUGACCGGUCACAUUGGGACUGAGAUACGGCCCAGACGCCUACGGGAGGCAGCAGUGGGGAAUAGUGCACAAUGGGCGAAAGCCUGAUGCAGCGACGCCGCGUGAGGGAUGGAGGCCUUCGGGUUGUAAACCUCUUUCGCUCAUGGUCAAGCCGCAGCUUUGGGUUGUGGUGAGGGUAGUGGGUAAAGAAGCGCCGGCUAACUACGUG
rnacentral:rRNA from 1 species